UACGUAGGGAGCAAGCGUUGUCCGGAAUCAUUGGGCGUAAAGCGCGCGUAGGUGGCCACAUAAGUCCGUUGUGAAAGUCAAAGGCUCAACCUUUGAAAGCCGAUGGAUACUGUGUGGCUAGAGUACGGAAGAGGCGAGUGGAAUUCCUGGUGUAGCGGUGGAAUGCGCAGAUAUCAGGAGGAACACCAAUAGCGAAGGCAGCUCGCUGGGACGUUACUGACACUGAGGCGCGAAAGCGUGGGUAGCAAACAGG
rnacentral:rRNA from 1 species